CCUUCUCUUAUCUAGGGUGUUUCAGAGAUCCAAGCAGUUUCAGGAACUCCAGGCAGUGGUUGCACCCAAGAUAUUAAUUAGAAAUGAGUUAUAGUGCAGUGUGGAAGAGCCAGCCCUCAGGUGUCCAAGUUCAGAGGGAGCUCAUGGGUCCCAAGGCAAGGCUCACAAGAGGGGGCAGAACUUAAGUUCGAAGAAUGAGUGCAAGUACAAUAGAGCGGGGUUAGGGAGUGCCAAGGCAAGCUGGUGGUCAUGCCCAGCCAUAAGAUAGACUGGCACACCCCUAACCAGCCUGUUCAGCCAACAAGUAAGAGUAUAGACCUAUUGAAGGUCAGUCUAUGGUCUAGACAGUUAUUAGGACACUUUUAGACCACAAUUUUAAACUCAGAAUGCAUUUAAAGGGGAAUGGGAAUAGGAAUUGAAUAGCGUUUAGGACUCAGGAGUCCCUUCCAUAUACAUGAGCAACAAUGUCAAGUGUUUUCAUGUUUUCUGAACCAUAACUCAACAUAGAAAGGGACUAGGGAUGGGGAUUUCAUGUAAGAACAGAGAUAGUGAAAUCAACUUGCAGAGAGUUACAUAAACAAUAAGACAAACAAGGAAAAGACUGGAGCAUAAACACAUAAUGGAGAGGCAGAAAUUAGACAAAAGAGACAUAUCAGUUGCAAGAAGGUAAGCAAAGAGAAAUGGGAUUCAUUCAAACAAAGCCACAGUCAUAGAAGAGAACUUUGAGCCUAUGAGUUCAGAGAACUCAAAUCCUUUUAAGAAAAAUCUAAGUGUAUUUGAGAGAAGAAGUAAUGACUUGUGUUCUGUUCUUGUUUUUACAAAGAGAAGAAGUGCAUGUAUUUAUAGUUUUUCAAAACGAGUAAAAAGUGAAGUAAUGAACCACAAACAUGAAAAUAAUCACUAAUCAGAAUCAAUUACGAAAGUGAUUGCCUUUAAUUAAGGGAUCACUUGCUUAACGGGCAGUGAUAUGUUUAAAAAUAAGGAAAGAAAUCAAUCUAAGAGGCAGACUGAUUAUUGCCAUAAAAGGAGUAGUAAAACAAUACAGUAAGUGAUUAAGUCUAUGUACAAGAAAAUACUUAUUUUGGGAAAGUAUUCAGCCAGGUAAAUAUUACAGUAAAGGGAAAAGAAUCAAUCAGAUCCAAACAAGCGAGUGAAAUCAAAAUUUCUCAAAGCAAAAGUUUGAAAUCAGUCAUAGAUUUGAAGAUUAGUCAAAGAAGAAAACUCAACAUAUAAAUAGAGUGCACAACACUAGACAUGCGAGGCCAAGCUAUUGGCAAAAAGGAAAUACCAUACAGUAGUAGCAAACUAAGAAAUUCAAUAUAUAGCACCAUUCGAAGCAUGAUAGUCAUGUAGGUCAAGUUUCAGUAGCUUAGUAGUAGAGAAAAGAUAGACUAUCAGAAGCAUGCAAAGAGCCAAGUGAAAAGCUUUUUUGAAAAAACAUAGUCGAGUUUGACAGAUAGUAAGAAAGGAGAAUCGAAGGAAUCACACAAAGAGAUACUGAAACUUUCAACUCCAGUUGAAUAAUUUCAAAUAGGAGAAUUGCACAAACAAACUUCAGGAACUCAAAUAAACCCCCAAAAAACUAGGGUUUUUUGAAAUCAAUCGAGUUUAGAGGCGAUAAACAAGUAAAACAAACACACAGUCUUAGAAGCUCAAAUAAACCCCAAAAAUUAGGGAUUUUAACACUAAUCAAGUAUAAACGAUGUAAAUCAAAUGCAUACUAAUAAAUAGACUCAGAAACUCAAACAAAUCCAAAAAAUUAGGGUUUUCAGCACCAAUCACACAUAGAGAUGAUAAGCAAAUGAAUCGGACAAACUAUUAACAAACAGACUCAGAAACCCAAAUUUGAAAUCGAAAGAUUUUUGAAAAGUAAAUUUUGGAAAAACGCUUAAAACGUUAAAUAUACCAUAGAUCCAGCAUAGAUCUAAACAAAUAAAUGAAUAAAGAACUUCGAAUAGCUUAGGGUUUCUAAGAGCCCUAAAAUCGAGAAAGGCUUGGAAGAAACAAGAUCAGAUCUGGAGUUGAUAAGGUCGGAAUUAGACUCAGGAAGCUAGGAUACGUUGGAGCAAGGUCAAAGAUGGAUGGAAACCUCGAGUUGGCGAAGGUCUGAGGGAAGAUCCUCAGCUGGCCUCGAACCUUCAGUCAUCAGACACGUAAUAACAGUAGGAGGUGAGUAUAGGUCAUCCAUGGCCUGAGCAGCCAUGAAUUCUGGUGGGUUUGGGUUGAAAGUGGUAGAAGGAGAUUAUGGUUUUGAGAAAGUUCGACAGGAUAGGGGAGUUAGAGAGUUGGC
rnacentral:lncRNA from 1 species